GAUGAACGCUGGCGGCGUGCCUAAUACAUGCGAGUCGAGCGAACGGACGAGAAGCUUGCUCGUCUGAUGUUAUCGGCGGACGGGUGAGUAACACGUGGAUAACCUACCUAUCAGACUGGGAUAACUUCGCGAAACCGGAGCUAAUACCGGAUAAUAUUUUGCACCUGAUUGUUCAAGAGUUAAAGUCGGUAUUGCUUUGACUUAUAGAUUACUACGCGUUGCAUCAGUUAGUUGGUAAGGUAACGGCUUAGCAAGGCAACGAGAGAUAACCGCCCUGAAAGGGAGAUCGGCCAGCUGGGAACUGAGACACAGCCCAGACUCCGACGGUAGGAAGCAGUAGGGAAUCUUCCGCAAUGGGCGAAAGGCUGACGGAGCAACGCCGCGUGAGUGAUGAAGGACUUCGGAUGGUAAAGCGCUGUUAUUAGGGGAGAACAAAUGUGUAAGUACCUGUGCAGAUAUUGACGGUACCGAAUCAGAAAGCCCCGGCUAACUACGUG
rnacentral:rRNA from 1 species